GGGGAACUGCCUGCAUGCAGUAUGGAGAGAGCCGGACACAGGGAAAGUGUAAGCUGUUUGGCACCAUCAGCAAAGCCUGAAGCAUGGGGCUCAGGCAUGUGUGUGCACCAGUGUGACCAGGAAGAAACACCAACAAACAUUACACUCCUUUCAGGAACAUUCUUAAGGUGCGCCUAAAGCUAAAAGACAAUUUAGUGUGGAAGCUAUUAAGCAGAUAUGACCGAAGACCGUACCCUUUCCAGUUAACCAGAUGCUGAAGCACCUUGACCAUCAAACCUUUAAUGAACAUCAGUAAAGGCAGGGCAUUGAUGAAAUAAUGAAAAGAUCCUCUGUUCAUAUGGCUUGAUCUAAGAAGUCUUAGCUAAGAGAGAGAGAGAAAGAUUUGGGCUGUGACAGAUGCAUCUAAUUAUUCAGUCUUUGUUGAUAAAGAUAAAGAUUAAAGUGGCCUUGGGCUUUGGGGGAAAAAUGGCCACCAUUCCAACAUCAAAGAUGUCUACUUCAAUGGUAAAAGAUUGAUCCAGAUGAGUCCCAUGACAUUAAUAAAGGGGUAUUUAAUUUAUAUAAAAUCAGAUUGGGCUUUAGAUGUCCAAGUGAUCUUCUUAUAAAAAGCAGAAAUGGAGGUGGCAAACUUGGAAGCCUUCGAUAAAACAUUGUCAUCACUAGACAGACAAAAAGCAUCAAGUAUUCAAAUUCGGAAACAGCAUGAUCCAAGGAAGCAGUUGAUUAAAAAUACCUCUGGAAAACUUAUGUAAUCCUUACAUUUUAACAAGAAAUGUUUUUUUUUUAUUUCAUGAUUCACAUGAUUGUGUCCUUCUUCAAAGGUAGAACAACUAGAUUUUUUCAAGUUAAUCAAUUAAAAAGCUCUAUAGAAAUCCACAAAGAAUAUAUUUAACAAAACCUUGCAAAACAGCAGGAGCACUGCAGAGUGCAGACAUAAUCAAUACUGAAAACUUAGCAAGUGCAAUUAUUGAAACCUCAGUAAACAACAGGUCAAUUCAAACAGUUAGUAACACACUGAGAGUGCAGGUAAGCUUAGUCCCCCACAGUGUGGACUCUUGGCCUAAGCUUUCUCUGUGGAGGGCAUUAUGGCUUUGGCACUAUCGCUAGGGCCUCUGGCACCUCCAAUCACCAUUUCCUGCCCUAGUUUCCCUUAAGGCCACUGGCAAAAAUCAUCAGACAUGGUUACCUUCCAAUAUCUACUGGCCAGGUUUAAAGAUUCAAAAUUGGCCAUCCAUUUUAGUUUAACCAGAAACUUCAUAAUCAAAGUGAGUGGGUAAGCAUCCCAGUGCAUACCAGUGUUAAACCACC